rnacentral:rRNA from 1 species
UGGGGAAUAUUGCACAAUGGGGGAAACCCUGAUGCAGCAACGCCGCGUGAAGGAUGAAGGCCCUUGGGUUGUAAACUUCUUUGAUCAGGGAAGAAAGAAAUGACGGUACCUGAAUAACAAGCCACGGCUAACUACGUGCCAGCAGCCGCGGUAAUACGUAGGUGGCAAGCGUUGUCCGGAUUUACUGGGUGUAAAGGGCGUGUAGGCGGGAUCGCAAGUCGGAAGUGAAAUCCCCGGGCUUAACCCGGGAACUGCUUCUGAAACUGUGGUUCUUGAGUACUGGAGAGGAAAGCGGAAUUCCUAGUGUAGCGGUGAAAUGCGUAGAUAUUAGGAGGAACACCAGUGGCGAAGGCGGCUUUCUGGACAGAAACUGACGCUAAGAUACGAAAGCGUGGGGAGCAAACA